UCCUGACUGACCGAUAGUGAACCAGUACCGUGAGGGAAAGGCGAAAAGAACCCCGGCGAGGGGAGUGAAAAAGAACCUGAAACCGUGUACGUACAAGCAGUGGGAGCACGCUUAGGCGUGUGACUGCGUACCUUUUGUAUAAUGGGUCAGCGACUUAUAUUCUGUAGCAAGGUUAACCGAAUAGGGGAGCCGAAGGGAAACCGAGUCUUAACUGGGCGUUAAGUUGCAGGGUAUAGACCCGAAACCCGGUGAUCUAGCCAUGGGCAGGUUGAAGGUUGGGUAACACUAACUGGAGGACCGAACCGACUAAUGUUGAAAAAUUAGCGGAUGACUUGUGGCUGGGGGUGAAAGGCCAAUCAAACCGGGAGAUAGCUGGUUCUCCCCGAAAGCUAUUUAGGUAGCGCCUCGUGAAUUCAUCUCCGGGGGUAGAGCACUGUUUCGGCAAGGGGGUCAUCCCGACUUACCGACCCGAUGCAAACUGCGAAUACCGGAGAAUGUUAUCACGGGAGACACACGGCGGGUGCUAACGUCCGUCGUGAAGAGG
rnacentral:rRNA from 1 species